UACGUAGGGUGCAAGCGUUAAUCGGAAUUACUGGGCGUAAAGCGUGCGCAGGCGGUUGUGUAAGACAGAUGUGAAAUCCCCGGGCUCAACCUGGGAAUGGCAUUCGGGACUGCAAGGCUGGAGUGCGGCAGAGGAGACUGGAAUUCCUGGUGUAGCAGUGAAAUGCGUAGAUAUCAGGAGGAAUACCGAUGGCGAAGGCAGGUCUCUGGGCUGACACUGACGCUCAUGCACGAAAGCGUGGGGAGCAAACAGG
rnacentral:rRNA from 1 species